AAAUAUAUUAAAUUUAAUUUUAAUGUUGUUAACAAAUAUAUUUAAAAAGAAAUUUCUUAAUAAUAGUCGAAAAAAGAAAAAAAAAAUUACAAGAAUUGUUUAUUGUGGAGCACCUUCCUCAAGAGGGCAUCACGUCCAGGAAAUGGAUUAUUAAUCUCUGCCGUCCACUCUUGAUCAUCACUCCUUUGUUCUGUUCCAUCUACCCCAUUUACGAAACCAUCCUUGUUCCUCCUUAUAAUCCCCAGCUUCUCCUUUUUCCUGUCGUCCGUGGACCUGAGCCUGGCUCUCUCUCUUCUCUCCUUUCUUCUGAUUUCAGUCUCUGAUAAAAUCCUAUCUUUCUCUUCCUUCUCCGCUCCCAGAUCUUUCAUUUCUUUAACAGUGCUAAAAGAAGAUGACACCGUUCUUGGUAUUCUGCCGCCUUUACUAGUGCCCAAGAGCUCAAAGUUCAAUUUACUCCACCCAACUUUAUCAUCAUUGUCCCAACCAAACCUCUCACUUAUCUCCAACAACAGAGGAACUGCACUAUCCUUUCUAAAAAAAGGGGCAUCUUUGUUUCCAUUCAAGACGCUAUCUGCAAAUUCCCACUCCAAUCUGUCCUGAUAAACUGGGUCUUCAAGAACUUGGUCUGCUAACUUUGCCCAGUGCUCGAAGUCGCCCGCACGAAGGUUCUUGGAAACCCAUUUGAGGUAGGUUGAGGGGAGGGCGCCAAGCAUCUUGCCCUUGUACUUUCCGAAGUCUAUUACACUGUCUCUUGCGGGGAUUAUAUGUGAUUUGGAGGUGUGGGGACGUGGUUUCUUGGGCUUGAAAGAGCAUAUUAUGUUGGGAAAUUUGAAGGUGUACUGAGCGAAAGCCAUGGAGGAGAUGAAAUGCAGAUAGGAGAGAAAUCUUUACUUCCCUUUGCACUUUAUUAGGUUUUGAUGCGACACUGCUGCCAUCACGAUUGAGUUAAUCCUUAUAAGUUUGAAAAGAAAAAGAAAAGAAUAUAAUAUACAUUUGGAA
rnacentral:misc_RNA from 1 species